UACAGAGGGGGCAAGCGUUGUUCGGAUUUACUGGGCGUAAAGGGCGCGUAGGCGGCCAGCACAAGUCAGUUGUGAAAUCUCCGAGCUUAACUCGGAACGGUCAACUGAUACUGUGCGGCUAGAGUGCAGAAGGGGCAACUGGAAUUCUUGGUGUAGCGGUGAAAUGCGUAGAUAUCGAGAGGAACACCUGCGGCGAAGGCGGGUUGCUGGGCUGAUACUGACGCUGAGGCGCGAAAGCCAGGGGAGCGAACGGG
rnacentral:rRNA from 1 species